UCGAGGGGCAGCAUGGUCUUAGCUUGCUAAGGCCGAUGGCGACCGGCGCACGGGUGAGUAACACGUAUCCAACCUGCCGUCUACUCUUGGACAGCCUUCUGAAAGGAAGAUUAAUACAAGAUGGCAUCAUGAGUCCGCAUGUUCACAUGAUUAAAGGUAUUCCGGUAGACGAUGGGGAUGCGUUCCAUUAGAUAGUAGGCGGGGUAACGGCCCACCUAGUCUUCGAUGGAUAGGGGUUCUGAGAGGAAGGUCCCCCACAUUGGAACUGAGACACGGUCCAAACUCCUACGGGAGGCAGCAGUGAGGAAUAUUGGUCAAUGGGCGAGAGCCUGAACCAGCCAAGUAGCGUGAAGGAUGACUGCCCUAUGGGUUGUAAACUUCUUUUAUAAAGGAAUAAAGUCGGGUAUGGAUACCCGUUUGCAUGUACUUUAUGAAUAAGGAUCGGCUAACUCCGUGCCAGCAGCCGCGGUAAUACGGAGGAUCCGAGCGUUAUCCGGAUUUAUUGGGUUUAAAGGGAGCGUAGAUGGAUGUUUAAGUCAGUUGUGAAAGUUUGCGGCUCAACCGUAAAAUUGCAGUUGAUACUGGAUAUCUUGAGUGCAGUUGAGGCAGGCGGAAUUCGUGGUGUAGCGGUGAAAUGCUUAGAUAUCACGAAGAACUCCGAUUGCGAAGGCAGCCUGCUAAGCUGCAACUGACAUUGAGGCUCGAAAGUGUGGGUAUCAAACAGGAUUAGAUACCCUGGUAGUCCACACGGUAAACGAUGAAUACUCGCUGUUUGCGAUAUACUGCAAGCGGCCAAGCGAAAGCGUUAAGUAUUCCACCUGGGGAGUACGCCGGCAACGGUGAAACUCAAGGAAUUGACGGGGGCCCGCACAAGCGGAGGAACAUGUGGUUUAAUUCGAUGAUACGCGAGGAACCUUACCCGGGCUUAAAUUGCAGAUGAAUUACGGUGAAAGCCGUAGCCGCAAGGCAUCUGUGAGGUGCUGCAUGGUUGU
rnacentral:rRNA from 1 species